CCCUCCAAACCAUCGUUGCAGCUCCCACUAUUAAAAACAAACAGGGAGAAACCAUCAUUGCAGCUCCCACAAUUAAAAAUAAAUAGAGGGUAGAGGGUUUCAGCAAAUGAUCAGCGACCACCGCUAGUGCAUUCACGAACAAAGUGCCCGUUUUCACCACACUUAAAGCAAACGCCUUCGCCACCACCUCAUCCACCAUCACCAUCACACUCAGCCACCCCGUCUCCCAUCCCCCAUCCACCACCACCACCACACAUCAAUCCACCAUUUCCACCCUUGUCCUCCACCCUAUCCCACACCACAAUCACCACAUUAUUAGUACCAAAUAAAUCAUCCAAUGUACAUAAGUUUUUCAAGUAUCCAAUUCGAAGAGAAAUUCAUGCUCCUUGUAGAAAUUUAAGAUUUGGGCAUAAACAAUUGAAGGGUAAAUUGGGUAAUUCAAAGAGAAAUUCAUGCUCCUUGUAGGAAUUCAAGAUUUGGGUAUAAGUAACUGAAGGGUAAAUUGGAUUAUUUAGCUCAUAAAAUGGGUAAUUCGAUUCGAAAGAAAGAGAAAUUUUUCUUUUUUCGUAAAGAUUGCUUCUUGAUACAACAAAGAUUCAACCUUUUUUUUUUAUUUUCUAAAAUGAGUGUUGAACAUCGAGAAAAUAUAUUGGUGACUGUCGAAGCUGAUUUAGUUGGAAAC
rnacentral:lncRNA from 1 species